UACGGAGGGUGCAAGCGUUAUCCGGAUUCACUGGGUUUAAAGGGUGCGUAGGUGGGUUGGUAAGUCAGUGGUGAAAUCUCCGAGCUUAACUUGGAAACUGCCAUUGAUACUAUCAGUCUUGAAUAUUUGUGGAGGUCAGCGGAAUAAUGUCAUGUAGCGGUGAAAUGCUUAGAUAUGACAUAGAACACCAAUUGCGAAGGCAGCUGCUCGCAAUAUAUUGACACUGAGGCACGAAAGCGUGGGGAUCAAACAGGG
rnacentral:rRNA from 1 species